GGGGGGAGCAAGCGUUGUUCGGAAUCACUGGGCGUAAAGGGCGCGUAGGCGGCCGCGUAAGUCGCGUGUGAAAGGCCGGGGCUCAACCCCGUGUACUGCAUGUGAUACUGCGUGGCUUGAGAAAGGUAGAGGCGAGCGGAAUUCCCGGUGUAGCGGUGGAAUGCGUAGAUAUCGGGAAGAACACCAGUGGCGAAGGCGGCUCGCUGGGCCUUUUUCUGACGCUGUAGCGCGAAAGCGUGGGGAGCAAACAGGGAUUAGAUACCCUGGUAGUCCACGCCGUAAACGAUGGGUACUAGGUGUUGGGAGGAUUGACCCUUUCAGUGCCGACGCUAACGCAUUAAGUACCCCGCCUGGGGGAGUACGGCCGCAAGGCUG
rnacentral:rRNA from 1 species